CCUACGGGAGGCAGCAGUAGGGAAUCUUCCGCAAUGGACGAAAGUCUGACGGAGCAACGCCGCGUGAACGAUGAAGGCCUUCGGGUCGUAAAGUUCUGUUGUUAGGGAAGAACAAGUGCUAGUUGAAUAAGCUGGCACCUUGACGGUACCUAACCAGAAAGCCACGGCUAACUACGUGCCAGCAGCCGCGGUAAUACGUAGGUGGCAAGCGUUGUCCGGAAUUAUUGGGCGUAAAGCGCGCGCAGGCGGUUUCUUAAGUCUGAUGUGAAAGCCCCCGGCUCAACCGGGGAGGGUCAUUGGAAACUGGGAAACUUGAGUGCAGAAGAGGAAAGUGGAAUUCCAAGUGUAGCGGUGAAAUGCGUAGAGAUUUGGAGGAACACCAGUGGCGAAGGCGACUUUCUGGUCUGUAACUGACGCUGAGGCGCGAAAGCGUGGGGAGCAAACAGGAUUAGAUACCCUGGUAGUCCACGCUGUAAACGAUGAGUGCUAAGUGUUAGAGGGUUUCCGCCCUUUAGUGCUGAAGUUAACGCAUUAAGCACUCCGCCUGGGGAGUACGGUCGCAAGACUGAAACUCAAAGGAAUUGACG
rnacentral:rRNA from 1 species